UUUUUUUUAACCUUUGAACUUUAAAAUAUCUAGUUAUGAAAUGGGGGGGUUCAGGAUUCCAAUGUACAAAUGAUUUAGGAAGUGCAAAUAAAAUAACACCGAUUAAAUGGUUCUUGUCCUUUCUUGAUUAAAUAUGUAAAUGAUUUAUUUGAGAUAAAGAAAUAUACAACCAAGCCAGGAACCUCUGGCCUUUCUUUGUUUUGUACAGAUGUAUGUUUUAAGAGUUUAGUGUGUUAUCAAUUUUCUCUGAACAAGUACACAUUUUUGUUUAGGGGCCCCAGCUGAAUAUAUUUGUUCUUUUUCCAAAUCAUAUAGUGUAUUGUUUAGUGUGUGUGAAUACCAUGGUGCCCAUCAAGUAUUUUUUUUAUUAAGGUUUGAAAUCUGGAUAGGAAAGAAUAUCGGAGAAUGGAUAAAAUUUACAGAAAAAUGGACCAAAAUUUUUUUUAAAAAAAAGAAC
rnacentral:lncRNA from 1 species